CGAUAAAUGAAAUUAUUAUUGAAAAAUAAGUUUACAUUAGAUUUCAAACUAUAAUAGAAGUAAAUACAAUAUGACAACAACUAACCCUAUUCCCAUGAAUUUAAAAACCACAUAGGAAGCACCAUUUAUCCAUUCAACAUGGCAAUAGAAAGAAUGGUCAACAGUAUAACAAUAUAUACUAAAGUACAAACAUGAGUUAUUGAAUUUUGUAUGAUGGACUCGGACAAAUUGAUAUGUUCAAGUAAAUUACAUUCUAGCUUGUGGCCUUUCCCAAGAUGUGGGCAGCAAGUGGCCGGGCAUAUAUAAUCUUUUAAUCGAACCACAUUAGCGAAGCACCUGCAGAGAAGCAAGACAAAUCAAAUGAGCUGACAUAUUUAAGAUGAGCAAGAAAUGAAGUGCGUAACAAAAACUUCAUUUACUUGUUUCCACCAUUUAUAUGUCCACAAGCAGGUCGUCUGUAUACAUGUAUACCUACUCAUAAUCACCGUCAUUGCUGAGUUCUUCUUCUUCUACAUUUUCUUCCUCUUCUGGUUCAUCCUCUUCAUUUUCUCCUUCAUUUCCCAAAAAACACAAAUUUCCUGAGAGAAAAAGAAUGACAUAGUAAUCACAAAAAAUAAGACAUUGCUCUGAGUAAAAUAGAUGAAGUAAAUGCUAAAAAGAGUUUCAAUUGAGACAUAUAAAAUAUACCUUAGAAUUCUCCGCAAGGCUCAAGCUUCACAAAGUGAUCGUGUUUGGUCCAUCUUAUUUGCGCGGUGGUUAUUGAAUAAUUUUAAUGGUAUUCCAUUCGGUAUUAAGAAAGAAAU
rnacentral:lncRNA from 1 species